rnacentral:rRNA from 1 species
GACGAACGCUGGCGGCGUGCUUAACACAUGCAAGUCGAACGGAAAGGCCCUGCUUUUGUGGGGUGCUCGAGUGGCGAACGGGUGAGUAACACGUGAGUAACCUGCCCUUGACUUUGGGGUAACUUCAGGAAACUGGGGCUAAUACCGGAUAGGAGCUCCUGCUGCAUGGUGGGGGUUGGAAAGUUUCGGCGGUUGUGGAUGGACUCGCGGCUUAUCAGCUUGUUGGUGGGGUAGUGGCUUACCAAGGCUUUGACGGGUAGCCGGCCUGAGAGGGUGACCGGGCACAUUGGGACUGAGAUACGGCCCAGACUCCUACGGGAGGAAGCAGUGGGGAAUAUUGCACAAUGGGCGGAAGCCUGAUGCGGCAACGCCGCGUGCGGGAUGACGGCCUUCGGGUUGUAAACCGCUUUCGCCUGUGACGAAGCGUGAGUGACGGUAAUGGGUAAAGAAGCACCGGCUAACUACGUG